rnacentral:rRNA from 1 species
AUUGAACGCUGGCGGCAGGCUUAACACAUGCAAGUCGAGCGGAGCGAGGGUGCUUGCACCUUAGCUUAGCGGCGGACGGGUGAGUAAUGCUUAGGAAUCUGCCUAUUAGUGGGGGACAACAUUCCGAAAGGAAUGCUAAUACCGCAUACGCCCUACGGGGGAAAGCAGGGGAUCUUCGGACCUUGCGCUAAUAGAUGAGCAUAAGUCGGAUUAGCUAGUUGGUGGGGUAAAGGCCUACCAAGGCGACGAUCUGUAGCGGGUCUGAGAGGAUGAUCCGCCACACUGGGACUGAGACACGGCCCAGACUCCUACGGGAGGCAGCAGUGGGGAAUAUUGGACAAUGGGCGGAAGCCUGAUCCAGCCAUGCCGCGUGUGUGAAGAAGGCCUUUUGGUUGUAAAGCACUUUAAGCGAGGAGGAGGCCACUUAGAUUAAUACUCUGGGAUAGUGGACGUUACUCGCAGAAUAAGCACCGGCUAACUCUGUGCCAGCCGCCGCGGUAA